rnacentral:RNase_P_RNA from 1 species
GGAGCUGACUCGGUAAUCGCUGCUUCAUUGAUGUCCUUCGGGAGACUGAUGGAGGGGAGGAAAGUCCGGGCUCCAUAGAGCAGGGUGCCAGGUAACGCCUGGGGGGCGCAAGCCCACGACAAGUGCAGCAGAGAGAAAACCGCCGAUGGCUUAAUCUUCUUUUAUUCUUCGGAGUAGGGAAGUAAGCACAGGUAAGGGUGAAAGGGUGCGGUAAGAGCGCACCGGGCGUCUAGUAAUAGUGCGUUGCAAGGUAAACUCCACCCGGAGCAAGAUCAAAUAGGCCCUCACAUAGCAUUGCUCGUGUUUGGGGGCGGGUAGAUUGCUUGAGCCUGUGAGCGAUUGCAGGCCUAGACGAAUGGUUACCACCGCGCAAGCGGGACAGAACCCGGCUUAUAUGUCGGCUCCUAACUUAGCCCACCAUAGUACUAUUUCGGUAGUGUUAUGGUG